rnacentral:lncRNA from 1 species
GUACAUUAAAAAUAGCUUUCUGUAACUCAGCUGUUCAUAAUAAAAGUUUGCCAUUUGUUUUUUUACAGGGCGGAUCAGACAGAACAUGAUUUUCUCUUCCCUUAUGCUGCUCUGACUCUACUGAGUUCAGAAGGAUGACUCUUGAUUUAUGCUGGGCAAGAAAGGCAAUGCUCUGAAAGAAAUGACUGCAUUUUCCUAACCUCCAAAGGAGGAAAAAAAAGAGAUACAGAAAGAAAAGCCAGCAGCAGGCAUCAGAAGAGACAGAAAGAAGUAAGAAAGCAGUCGGCAGCCGGAGACAGGACCCAAAAAGGAGACGACUUCUGGCUAUUUUAAGGUUUAUUUCUUAGUUAGAUGAAGCUAUGGAAGCUCUAACGGACCAGGUCUUUUCAGUACAACUGCACUGGGAAGUCAUUCAAGGUAUGUCUGCAGACUCAGCUUUGUGAGUACCUUUAUCUGUAUAAAUGGUUUAUAGAAAUAAAUGUCACAUUCUCUGGUAAAAUGAGAGAUAC